rnacentral:lncRNA from 1 species
GCAACAAACUGUUGCCCCCUGGCAACACAUUUAAAAGGUCAUUGGAUGUCAAAUCAGCCCAAGGCCUGGUUGAAGAGGAACGUUUUUGCCUGGCGCCUAAAAAUGUAUAAUGGAGGCACCAGCCGAACCUCCCCGGGGAGAGCAUUCCACAGAUGGAGAGCCGCUACAGACAAUCCCAGCACUUGGCUGUUAGGUGAGGCUGACUGACCCAUGUCACAAUGAGGUUGUGAGGAUAACAGUAAAGAAGAGGAGGAGGGCCAGUGCUAUUUUUUUUCUAGAAGAAGAGGUGCCAGAACUCACCAUGUCCUCUUAUAACGGCAAUGAUGCCCACCUGAGAGGUGCUGGAACUGAAUUCCAGUGAGAUCUGGCUGAAAGGAAUCCCUGAAGAAAAUCCAUGUACGUCACCUUGAGUUCUGUGGAGGAAAGGUGGGAUAGAAAUGCUGUAAGCAAACAAAAUUAGGAUUGCUAUCUGCUUAUGGGCUGCAUUUUAUAGUCGUCAUGACAAUCGGCAGUGAAUUCCACACCCACCGUCUGUAGUAGCCUCUUUCAGGGAUGGUAGCAAGGGUGUAGCGGGGUAGCUGGAGCCAUUCUUAGCCCUUCCCUUGGAAACUGAUUGUCAGGUGCUGGUGUGGUUGAUCGAGAGCAAACCGGCAAGACUCCGACCUGUCUUUUCCAGGCUUUAUUAUUAGUGCAAAUUAUUUACAGG